rnacentral:rRNA from 1 species
UACGUAGGGCGCAAGCGUUAUCCGGAAUUAUUGGGCGUAAAGGGCGCGUAGGCGGUCAGCACAAGUCAGUUGUGAAAUCUCCGGGCUUAACUCGGAAAGGUCAACUGAUACUGUGCGACUAGAGUGCGGAAGGGGCAACUGGAAUUCUCGGUGUAGCGGUGAAAUGCGUAGAUAUCGAGAGGAACACCUGCGGCGAAGGCGGGUUGCUGGGCCGACACUGACGCUGAUGCGCGAAAGCCAGGGGAGCGAACGGG